rnacentral:rRNA from 1 species
AGCGAACGCUGGCGGCAGGCCUAACACAUGCAAGUCGAACGGACCCUUCGGGGUUAGUGGCGGACGGGUGAGUAACACGUGGGAACGCGCCUUUAGGUUCGGAAUAGCUCCUGGAAACGGGUGGUAAUGCCGAAUGUGUCCUUCGGGGGAAAGAUUUAUCGCCUUUAGAGCGGCCCGCGUCUGAUUAGCUAGUUGGGGAGGUAAUGGCUCACCAAGGCGACGAUCAGUAGCUGGUCUGAGAGGAUGACCAGCCACAUUGGGACUGAGACACGGCCCAAACUCCUACGGGAGGCAGCAGUGGGGAAUCUUGCGCAAUGGGCGAAAGCCUGACGCAGCCAUGCCGCGUGGAUGAUGAAGGUCUUAGGAUUGUAAAAUCCUUUCACCGGUGAAGAUAAUGACUGUAGCCGGAGAAGAAGCCCCGGCUAACUUCGUGCCAGCAGCCGCCGUAACAC